rnacentral:rRNA from 1 species
AGCAGCCGCGGUAAUUCCAGCUCCAAUAGCGUAUAUUAAAGUUGUUGCAGUUAAAAAGCUCGUAGUUGAAUUUCGGGGUCAGUAGGCUGGUCAUGCCACCGGUAUGUACUGGUCUUACUGAUUCCUCCUUCCUGACGAACCGUAAUGCCAUUAAUUUGGUGUUGCGGGGAAUUUGGACUGUUACUUUGAAAAAAUUAGAGUGUUUAAAGCAGGCUAACGCUUGAAUACAUUAGCAUGGAAUAAUGGAAUAGGACGUUCGAUCCUAUUUUGUUGGUUUCUAGGAUUGACGUAAUGAUUAAUAGGGAUAGUUGGGGGCAUUAGUAUCCAAUUGUCAGAGGUGAAAUUCUUGGAUUUAUUGAAGACUAACUACUGCGAAAGCAUUUGCCAAGGAUGUUUUCAUUAAUCAAGAACGAAAGUUAGGGGAUCGAAGACGAUCAGAUACCGUCGUAGUCUUAACCAUAAACUAUGCCGACUAGGGAUCGGAUGAUGUUAAUUUUUUAAUGUACUCAUUCGGCGCCUU